UACGGGGGGGCGAGCGUUGUUCGGAAUUACUGGGCGUAAAGGGUUCGUAGGUGGCCCUCUCAGUCAGAUGUGAAAUCCCUCGGCUCAACUGAGGAACUGCAUCUGAUACUGGAGGGCUUGAGUGCAGGAGAGGAACGCGGAAUUCCAGGUGUAGCGGUGAAAUGCGUAGAUAUCUGGAGGAACACCGGUGGCGAAGGCGGCGUUCUGGACUGCAACUGACACUGAGGAACGAAAGCCAGGGGAGCAAACGGG
rnacentral:misc_RNA from 1 species